rnacentral:rRNA from 1 species
AGAGUUUGAUCCUGGCUCAGGACGAACGCUGGCGGCGUGCUUAACACAUGCAAGUCGAACGGAAAGGCCCUGCUUGCAGGGUACUCGAGUGGCGAACGGGUGAGCAACACGUGGGUGAUCUGCCCUGCACUUCGGGAUAAGCCUGGGAAACGGGGUCUAAUACCGGAUAGGACCAUCGUUUAGUGUCGGUGGUGGAAAGUUUUUCGGUGCAGGAUGAGCUCGCGGCCUAUCAGCUUGUUGGUGGGGCAAUGGCCUACCAAGGCGUCGACGGGUAGCCGGCCUGAGAGGGCGGACGGCCACAUUGGGACUGAGACACGGCCCAGACUCCUACGGGAGGCAGCAGUGGGGAAUAUUGCACAAUGGGCGCAAGCCUGAUGCAGCGACGCCGCGUGGGGGAUGAAGGCCUUCGGGUUGUAAACUCCUUUCAACCAUGACGAAGCGUAAGUGACGGUAGUGGUAGAAGAAGCACCGGCUAACUACGUGCCAGCAGCCGCGGUAAUACGUAGGGUGCGAGCGUCGUCCGGAAUUACUGGGCGUAAAGAGCUCGUAGGUGGUUUGUCGCGUCGUCUGUGAAAUUCCGGGGCUUAACUCCGGGCGUGCAGGCGAUACGGGCAUAACUUGAGUGCUGUAGGGGAGACUGGAAUUCCUGGUGUAGCGGUGAAAUGCGCAGAUAUCAGGAGGAACACCAAUGGCGAAGGCAGGUCUCUGGGCAGUAACUGACGCUGAGGAGCGAAAGCAUGGGUAGCGAACAGGAUUAGAUACCCUGGUAGUCC